rnacentral:rRNA from 1 species
GACGAACGCUGGCGGCGUGCUUAACACAUGCAAGUCGAACGAAGUGGCGAACGGGUGAGUAACGCGUAAUCAACCUGCCCUUCAGAGGGGGACAACAGUUGGAAACGACUGCUAAUACCGCAUACGUAAGGCGGGGAUUGCGUUUGAUUAGGUAGUUGGAGGGGGAACGGCCCACCAAGGCGAAGCUCAGUAGCCGGUGCGAGAGGAUGAACGGCCACAUUGGGACUGAGGCAAGGCCCAAACUCCUAAGGGAGGCAGCAGUGGGGAAUCUUCCGCAAUGGACGAAAGUCCGACGGAGCAACGCCGCGGGAGUGAGGACGGCCUUCGGGUUGUAAAGCUUUGUUAAUCGGGACGCGGUACCGGAAUAGAAAGCCACGGCUAACUACGUGCCAGCAGCCGCGGUAAUAC